UACGUAGGGUGCAAGCGUUAAUCGGAAUUACUGGGCGUAAAGCGUGCGCAGGCGGUUAUGUAAGACAGAUGUGAAAUGCCCGGGCUCAACCUGGGAACUGCAUUUGUGACUGCAUGGCUAGAGUACGGUAGAGGGGGAUGGAAUUCCGCGUGUAGCAGUGAAAUGCGUAGAUAUGCGGAGGAACACCGAUGGCGAAGGCAAUCCCCUGGACCUGUACUGACGCUCAUGCACGAAAGCGUGGGGAGCAAACAGG
rnacentral:rRNA from 1 species